GAUAAACGCUGGCGGCGCACAUAAGACAUGCAAGUCGAACGGAAGUCGUUAUAAAAAGGAUUGAAGAUUUAUCUGAUUGAGAUUUUAUAACAAUGGCUUUAGUGGCGGACUGGUGAGUAACGCGUGAGCAACCUGCCUACUAGAGGGGAAUAGCAGUGAGAAAUCAUUGCUAAUACCGCAUAUGCCAUGAACAUCACAUGAUGAAAAUGGGAAAAGAGUAAUCUGCUAGUAGAUGGGCUCGCGUCUGAUUAGAUAGUUGGUGGGGUAACGGCCUACCAAGUCGACGAUCAGUAGCCGGACUGAGAGGUUGAACGGCCACAUUGGGACUGAGAUACGGCCCAGACUCCUACGGGAGGCAGCAGUCGGGAAUAUUGCGCAAUGGAGGAAGCUCUGACGCAGUGACGCCGCGUAUAGGAAGAAGGUUUUCGGAUUGUAAACUAUUGUCGUUAGGGAAGAUACAAGACAGUACCUAAGGAGGAAGCUCCGGCUAACUACGUGCCAGCAGCCGCGGUAAUACGUAGGGAGCAAGCGUUAUCCGGAUUUAUUGGGUGUAAAGGGUGCGUAGACGGGACAACAAGUUAGUUGUGAAAUCCCUCGGCUUAACUGAGGAACUGCAACUAAAACUAUUGUUUUUGAGUGUUGGAGAGGAAAGUGGAAUUCCUAGUGUAGCGGCGAAAUGCGUAGAUAUUAGGAGGAACACCGGUGGCGAAGGCGACUUUCUGGACAAUAACUGACGUUGAGGCACGAAAGUGUGGGGAGCAAACAGGAUUAGAUACCCUGGUAGUCCACACCGUAAACGAUGGAUACUAGGUGUAGGAAAUGAUUUCAUUUUCUGUGCCGUCGCAAACGCAAUAAGUAUCCCACCUGGGGAGUACGGCCGCAAGGUUGCAACUCAAAUGAAUUGACGG
rnacentral:rRNA from 1 species